CCUCCCUCCCAAUAUUUGGAUUUCCCACAUCAGAGAUAAACUUCCCUCUCCUUCUCCCUGAUCUAAUUGGCUCACUUCUCCCCAACCCCAUUCGAUUAUCUUUCUUUUUCUCUCCAUCGUCACCCAAUGAAUGGCGUGGUUCGAGGCACCAACGAUGAAGGAGAUUGUAUAGCAGAACAGACAUGGCUAUGGAAAAAGGUUGUGGGUUUUUGCAGUACCGGUGUGCUGAUUCAUUCCCAAAAGUAAAUAUCUUUAUGUAGAAAAUCGUCAUCAAAAUCAUAGCACUUGGGGUUUUUGCUGUUGAAAAAUAGUUCAAGCAGUUCUUAAUAAAGUUGGCAAUACAUAUUCUGGACCUAAAGGUAGGAAUAAGUGCGAGCUGGGGAUACGAUUUCAUGUGUGGAGCCUUAAAGCUUUGUCGAGUUCCAUGGAGAAACCUACAUGAAACUGUCCCCAUAUUUUGGACCUAAAGGCAUUGUUCUUCAGAAAGAAAAAUAAUCAUUAAUGCACUUAACAUAAGGAAAUGCGAUCACAAGUUACUUGAGUGAUGUAAUCUGUACCUAGUCAAGAAGACAAGAUGCCAUAAAAACACUUCAAUAGGGAUCACAAAUGGGUCUUUCGGUAACUGAAACCACCGCACAGGGGGUCAACAACAAGGAGGGAGAACACUUGUAAUUGAAGGAUCUGCAAGCAAAGAUUUGGCAUUGGCGAUGUGAUCACACAUUGUCGCUUUACAUCGGCCGCAAGGCUUCAAAGGUCUAUUCAACUUAAUUUCCAGGUCGAAAUUACUUGAUUUUGAUAGAAAUAAUUUUCACCAUCUAGUGAAGCCCCUCCUUCAAUAGCAAUUAAGCCUUUGCAACCAGAUCACAAGAAGCACACGGAUGAUGAAGACUCUUGCUUAGUAGCAUCCUCGUAUCCAUACUUCUUAACCAUACUAAAACUAAGGACUAUGAUGUUCAAACCUACUUCUGAAUCAGCCUCGUUCAGGUGUGGUACACGUGCAGAGAGAUCUUAAAAGCUUUAUUCUUAGUUAUAAGAGAAGCUCAAGCACCAGAGGCGGAGAAAAUUAAAUAUGAUGCAAGAACUAUGGUAAAAUAUCAUCUUGUCUAUGGUUCUUAGCAAUAUGAUCAUAAGGUACUGUUUGUUUUCUUUACAAUUACAUAUUUAUGCCUAUUGGGACAGGUCAAAUGGGUUGAAAGUGACCAAAGUUAAUUAAAUGCUUACCUUAUAAAUUGCUUUGUUUAAAAAAUUAGAUUAGUUUCAGAUAGUAACGUUUUCGUAAUUAUAUCGUGUACAUACUGUUUAAAAGAUUGGAUUUUUUGAGGUCUCACGUUUGAUUCCAUCUCCGUUGAAUUUGGCACGAGUUUAUCCUCUCAUUACAGACUGGUAUACAUACUAUUUUCAGAAAGUACAGUAUUUGAAUUCUUAAAGUGAUUGGAAUGCAGUGAUUUUUUAAUUUAUACAACUUGAAUGCUAUGUUGUCAAGGCGCAUGGGCCGAGCCCUGAGCUUAGGUGCCUAAAAAUCGAGGGCUUUUUUAAAUUAGGCGUAAAGUGUAAAAUACUUUUUUAGGGGUUUUAGAGAUGUUUUAGGAUCUUUUAUGGCUAGUUUAGGAUGUUUCUGUCACACCCUGUCUUUUGCGGAAGCGUGAUUAUGUGUGAUUUGCUUAAUAUCAUUGCAUUCAAUCAUAACAACUAUAUGAUAAAAACCAUAGAUGGUCAUCCAUUAAUUAAGUUUAAAAACAUCACAAACAUCAUUGUUUAAACAUAGACUUCAAAUUCAAAUUUUACAAACCAUAUGAAUUGUUUAGAGUUCCAGAAGGACUCGACUCUACAUAAAAUCAGGCUUUGGAAGAUGUGUCUCGUCCAGAAAUAAGACACAUUGCCCAAACCCUAAGACAACAGAUGACAUUCUUUAUUCUUAACGCAACUUGAAACAUCCAACGCCCGCCAGAUCCAUUUUUAAUUCCCUGAAAUACAUGUAGUUUUAAAAACAUCAACAAGAGUUG